rnacentral:rRNA from 1 species
CUCGUAGGCGGUCUGUUGCGUCCGCUGUGAAAACUCGGGGCUUAACCCCGAGCCUGCAGUGGAUACGGGCAGACUAGAGGUAGGUAGGGGAGAAUGGAAUUCCUGGUGUAGCGGUGAAAUGCGCAGAUAUCAGGAGGAACACCGGUGGCGAAGGCGGUUCUCUGGGCCUUACCUGACGCUGAGGAGCGAAAGCGUGGGGAGCGAACA